GACGAACGCUGGCGGCGUGCUUAACACAUGCAAGUCGAGGGGAGCGGCGAACGGGUGAUUAACGCGUGAGUAACUGCCCCCCUCUCUGGGCUACCAGUUGGAAAAGGCUUCUAAUACCGGCUAGUGGGGGGGGACUCGCGUCUUUUCAGCUUGUUGGUGGGGUAGUGGCCUAACAAGGCGACGACGGGUAGCCGGCCUGAGAGGGCGACCGGCCACAUUGGGCUGAGAUACGGCCCAAACUCCUACGGGAGGCAGCAGUGGGGAAUAUUGCACAAUGGGGGAAACCCUGAUGCAGCAACGCGCGGGCGGGAUGACGGCCUUCGGGUUGUAAACCGCUUUCAGCCAUGACGCGGUAGUGGCAGAAGAAGCACCGGCUAACUACGUGCCAGCAGCCGCGGUAAUUC
rnacentral:rRNA from 1 species